rnacentral:lncRNA from 1 species
CGACAUUAUCUUGGUGGAGUUUAAUAAUGAGAAAGUUACAGACAAUAUGAAGUUACAAGGUGAUGAAAUGUUAGGAGAAGAUGGUGUGAUUGUGCUUGAGGUGAGUAUGAAGGUCAAGGAUGACAAUGACACGUUCGAGUUUUACAAAAGACAUGCGUACAAUAUAUGUUUCCUAGUUAGAAAAAGGCAUUAGAAAAAGAAGGAUGAUGUAGUUAUGAGGAAUGUCACAUUUUUUUGUAGUCAUGCAGAGAAAAUAUUCAAUAAUACAAGUUGUUACUUGAAGACGCAAGCAAAUAUUUAGAGUGGAU